UCAGCUUCUAGAGAGUUUCAAAAACUCCAGCUAAGUGACUAAGGUGUGCCACAGUCUAAUCACUUUCCUGUCUGGGCCUAAGGCAACCAAAGGAAGGAGAAUGGUCUCCAAAGAGAGAGCAGUCUUUGAGGGAAGAAAGGAAAAAAGCUGGAGAAGCCUGACAAGGAACCAACUGCCUUCAUACCCUCUUAGUUCAUGACUUAAAUUGCUGGUCCAGUGUUUCCUUUCUUACGUGUGUGUACUAGCUGCUGUUUGGUAAACGUGUCUGUGCCACUACUUCUGUUAAAAGUAAACUAUGCCUCUGGGAAGGUGGGAAACUUUGGGGGCAUAAAUCCUGUGUUAUAAGCUGCUAAAAGCCAAACAGAAAUAGCCUGAACAAAAGCCAAGAGAAAACUUGAGUGCUUACAGCUUACACAAGGCUGCAAGAAAGCACUUUAAAAGAGAAAAGGAUUAGAGGUGAAUAAAACAUUGAGUUCUUCUUGUAAAUAUUGAUGUUUUUCAUAUAUUUAUAACUACCGAAUCUGUGUGCUUUAAUAAUAUGAUAAUUUUUCAUUUUGUUUUUUUUGCAUUUUAUUGAUCACAUAAAAAUGUCACUGUUUAUGUCUCUACACGUUAACAGUGAAUAUUUUUAUCAUUUUAUAAGAUUUAUUUGAGGUGAUUUUGGUCUGGAAGACUGAUGGUAAAACCCACACAUAAUAACUUCAUAUAUAACCCACACAUAUAACUGCACUAUUCUGAUGAAAAUAGCUAUUAGAACACAUGGUUCUCCAGCACUGUGGGAAGAUGACAGAGGAUAAAAAGAUAACGGUACAGAAAUUAUAGGGGAAAAUACUGUUGCUACUGUCUAGAUGGCACAUGGUCAGCAUACAUGACACACCCACAACACAAUCUCAGGGGUCUAAAUGAAGGGUGGAGUGGAGACACUACGGCCAGGCUCUGUUGAAACCCAUGCAGAAGAGGGAACUCAGUGGUACUUUCUAUGAUAAGCUCCACAGCAGCUGAAAACUAAGGGAGAUUAAGGGAAAAUGCUCUUGAAUCAGCAACCAUGGUGAAAUCACUCUUUUUGGAUUGACACAUGUCUCCAUCCCGAGGUUAUCUUGCGUACUAUCCUGAGAUACUCAAUUCCCAAGGUACAAGCUGUAUAAAAGGUAAGACCAAAAUUCCUCAAACUCCAACUAAACAAAAAUAAAUAGCAUAAAAAUGGGGGAAAUUAGUUAAAAAUGGGGGACAAUGAGAGGGAGGACUCCACUGUAACUUCUGGGAUCAAUUAAUCAUAAUCAGAGGUGGGCUGAACCUGUCUUCUCCCCCAUAGGCAGGCCUAUUGGGUAAGAACUGUUCUCGCCACAUGCUGAAUGAUUAUCUCGAAGUGGCUUUUAUUGUGGAUUAGAGCUUGUUAGUACAUUGCUUUGAUUUAAUAUUGCUUUGAAUAUAUUUUUGUAGUCUGGCACUAUUACUGGCAAUUCUCAAACCUUAACCAGUCACUAUUUUAUUGAUAGAGAGUGCUAUUCUGUAAACUGUUAGUGAGUCCUUCAAGGACACUGGCAGUUGCCAGCAGUGGGUAGAGGUGUGGAGACCCAAGAGGAGGUUUCUCUGAUUGGUGAAUAAAUCAGUGGAACAGAUCCAGUGGGACUGCUUAGUGAAGGGUCCCAUAAUGAGACACUGACGGACUGGUCAGGCACAAGGGUCACAGCUUCCCUGAGGUGCUGACAGACUAAUCAGCACUAAGGGUUUGAGUAUGUCUCCCCCUUUCACAUAGGAAUCAUGUACAGAUUAUUCUUUACUUUCAUUUGUACUCUUGAUUUUGGAAGAAAUAUAAAUGAAUAAACUUACAAUCUAUUCAACACUUUAAACUUCCUAUGUGAGAUUUCAGUUGCUUUGCAAUUUAACAUUCAGUGUUUUUUCUUUCCUUGGUAUUUUAUGUUCUAAAACAAGUAAUGAAGUACUAAUUUAUUCCUCAGCAAAUACAGAAAUCCUGCCUGGCAGAAGGGAAAACUGUGACCAAAGAAAAGACAGAAAUAAGAAGUUUACAUUCAUUCUGUCACACUGGUGUGUCUGCCCAGGAAUGAUGUUUUCCUUUAUCUGAGUAUCUGAUUCAAAAGGUUCUAUUAAGAUGUAACUAUUUUGAAAACUGGAUUUUCCUUUUGUAUAACAAAUAAUUUUUCUAUUAAGCUUUCUUCUAGGCUGUAAAAGUACAAGAGAUAUACUAGGGAUUUUCAGAAGCCUAUGGAAUACAUUUUAACUAUACAUUUAUUUUACCUUUGUAAAAGUGGUUUUAUUUAUUUUACCUUUGUGUGGACUAUAGUUUCUGGAAUUGGGAGACAUUUCAGUACUGUUAUGGAAGAGAACAAUCUUAUCAACCUAAUCAAUACAAAGGCAUGGAGAGAUUGCUCUAUCACUCUUUAGUGAUUUAAUUUAAGUAUCUUUCAAGGUUUACAGUAUUACAUUUUUACCACUAGAUUUUUAUGACCAUAUUAACAGUUGAAACAACUUUUCAAAUUAUCUUGUCUGAUGUUUAAAUAUUUGAAUAGGUUUGUUUGGGGUUUUUUUAAUUAUGAUUUUUUUUUAUUUCUGCAGCUGAAUGUUACUACCAGAAUGUAAGGCAAAAGAUACAAACCUUGCAUGAACUGUGAGCUUAUGUUUCCACAUUUGCUAUGGUAUGAAAUGGUGUGUGGUAGAGUCAUGUGAGAAAAUCAUUCUACUUAUACAUAUAAACUAAUUUAAAAUAUCUACCUGAUUCUUGCCAAGUUUUCCCUUUGACAUCCUGAAUUUCUUAUUAAAGGGAUCUGUGAAAUAAAAUUUGUAUUUACUAUCUGCCAGGGUUUAAUAUUCUGCUAAUCUGAGGAAAGAGCCAGCUGCCACUCCUGACUAGAAAUCUUGCAUAUGGAACUUGCAUCAAGAUCUUUAUUUGAGGUCAGGUGUCAUUUUUAUUGGAACCAGUAAAGUUCUGAUGAGACAGUAAGGCAGACCUUGACAAAUACGUAGCAAGACUGUCUGUGAAAGGGUAUUAUGACAACUCACAGGUGGAAUACUUAGAAUAUUAUUUAAAAAUUAAAUAAAUACUUAUUUUAUUACUCAACAGACUUGUUUCAGUCUGUUUUAUCAAUGGUAAACUUUUUCCUAAUUUGUCUUGCAUAAAGAGGGAUGAUAUUAUAUGGGUAACUGGAACUAAUAAACUAAAGGGGAAGACCCACCAUAAAGCUUAACAGAAUCAAAUAAAAUAGGGAUAAAAUAGGGAUAAAAUAUGACACUAGAUCAGAUUAGAAUUUACAGACAAAACAACUGCAUAGAAAGAUGUGAAUUGUUAUCUUCUUUUGAAAUUCUGAGACAUGAAGGUGGAAAAUUUACUACAGCUAAAGGACUUCAGUGAGAAAAAAAAUUUACUAAGGCUGAAAUACUGAAGGGCUGUACCAGAAGUUUGGAGCUUCAAAGGAAAGCUCAUAAAUCAUAAAAGACAGCUGUCAUUUUAUUAUGAGCAGUAUCAAAGUGCUUACAAUGUAUUAGAAAACAGCACCCAGGAAUCUCCAGGCCUGUGGAAAAAUUGAAAACAUUUACAUUGAUAUGAAAUGUGGAUGAAUAUGAAGAAGUGGGUGAAAAUGCCCCAGACAUGGUCCUCUCUUGGCCACCAGGGAGAUAUGGUGACUGUGGGACAGUCACAUGAAGAAACAAUGGCUGUCACAAUUUACAAAAUGUUGCUCACAACCAUAAACAAACUCACAACCAUAUACUGGCACCUGUGCCCAUGCUGGCCCUCCUCUUGUGUAAAUGGGAAGAGGCAGCUGGUCCUGCUGGACAAAUGACAUGAGACUCUGAUCUCAUGUAAUCUCUAUCUAUCGUGUAAAUAUCUCUAUAUUUACACAAUAGAAACCCUCAAAACAGAAACUGGUGAAGUUCCAUGGGAGACUGUAACUUGAAGAUGAUAAGGACUUCUGGGACAAGGGAGGGGCCAUGUAAUAGUGAGAGGGGCAGGCCUUUCCCAGGAAGUAGGUUGUGAGACACCCAUCACUGCAUCUCUGGAAGCAGCCUUUGUCUGCCAAAGCUGCCUGUGUUCCAUUUGGCAGGGCUGCCUUUGGGGAACCAUUGCCAGUAGCUGGCUAAGAAGCAUAGGAAGUAGAGACUGAAUUUUUCUUCUCUCUGGAGCAUGUGAGUUUUGUUCUCUCGGUUCACCUACAGAUUUUCAUAAACCUUGUACUAAUUUACUGGUCUGGUUACUUCUAAAAUUCAACCUUUAGAUUCAGCUGAAACUGACAGAUUUACUCACACCCUUCCUGGCAGAAGGGCACAGUGGAGAUGGACAGAACAACUGUUUUGUUUGGCAUUGGGGCUAGCAGAAGUUUAGAUAUGAAGAGACAGAGAUCCAGCAGAAGUUGGCUCAUGGAGGUGGGAUAAACCAUAGAAUCACUUAGACUCUGAUCAUUCUGACAUAAGGAUACCUAUGCUAAGGACGGCUGUGUAGUGAAGAGAUAUGCAACAUAAGCCUAUUAAGACACUUGAAGAAUUCUGUCAUAUAAAACUCUCCAGAUCAAAUUAUCUAUUAUGGAAAUCUAUACUGCCAGAAUUAGACUUGUCUCAGUAAGUUGUCUUUUUAUUGCAAUUUGCUAAACUUUGGUUUUCAACUUUUUUUAAAGCCUUAGUUUCUGUGGGAAAAAGCUUAAAUAGAAAUACUACAGAUCAACACACACACACACAGACAGACACACAUACAAAAACAAAUGGAAAAACCUUACAUUUUAAGCCAUUUCUGUAGGGUUUAUUGAGAUCAAAUUCAUGAGUUUUCUAGCUGAAGUUGAUAAUUGCUGAGCAUAAAACUGGGCAAGCUCAUAAUUGAUUCUAUAUUUAUGCAAUGUAUGUAAAUAAAACACUAAGAAAUGCAAUACUGUGUGUGCUGUAGUUGAGAUUAUCCAGCAUGUGGAAUAUGUAUGUACAUAUAUUAUGUAGUAGUAUGUCUGUUUUGUGGUUGUGUUAUGGCUCUGGUGUACUGGGGCUUUCAGUGCACAGAUGUAAAACAUGCUGCUGCCUUCUGUCAAACAGAUGUUAGUGAAUUGGUAGUAAUCGUGGUAACAAAUGCAAGAUGCUUUGUCACUUGAUCAAAAAAGCAAGAUCUACGGGAAGGAAUGAUGAAGAUAAGGAAUCUAGGAGCUAUUCCUCUGAAUUUGAUUGGAUGGCAUAACUGAGAAAUGAGAGAUACUGUCUCUGCUCUGGAUAGCUGGGAAAUUCUGCAUUGCUAAAUUUUGGAAGACUGAAUAAACUAAAAUUAUUGUUCAGGUUCUGAUUCUGAACUCUAGGUGUUUCAAUUCCAUUUUUUCUACCAAGGAAGGGAAGCAUCAAGUGAGUAUCAUUUGUGCAUUAAAUUUGCCCUCAUGACUAUUACUACACAAGAAACAAUUUUGCAAUGUCAAACAAUAACAAUAAU